rnacentral:rRNA from 1 species
UCAGAGGAAGGUUGCGGCAAUAACAGGUCUGUGAUGCCCUCAGAUGUUCUAGGCUGCACACGUGCUACAUUGAUCAGCACAAUGCGAUACAUUUCGAAAGGAAACAUCGGUUUUAAGGUAACGUCGAUUGCCUACCGAUAGCACCUGGUCCCCAGUGGACUGGGCAAUCUCUUCUAAAUGCUGGUAAGGUACCCACACUCGAGCUAUUUAAUCACACGCGGGAGGCACACACGGUUCAAAUCUCAUUUGCGACUGUUGCCGCCAUGACGUAUGCAACUUGUCAAUUCUUCGUGGGGAUCGUCGAUGCAACUAUUCGACUCGCCACAACUAGAAUGCCUAGCGC